rnacentral:rRNA from 1 species
UACGUAGGGGGCAAGCGUUGUCCGGAUUUAUUGGGCGUAAAGAGCGUGUAGGCGGCCAGGUAGGUCCGAUGUGAAAUCUGGAGGCUCAACCUCCAGCGGUCAUUGGAAACCAUCUGGCUAGAGUCCGGAAGAGGAGAGUGGAAUUCCUGGUGUAGCGGUGAAAUGCGCAGAUAUCAGGAAGAACACCGAUGGCGAAGGCAGCUCUCUGGGACGGUACUGACGCUGAGACGCGAAAGCGUGGGGAGCGAACAGG